UACGAAGGGGGCUAGCGUUGCUCGGAAUCACUGGGCGUAAAGCGCACGUAGGCGGAUUGCUAAGUCAGGGGUGAGAUCCUGGAGCUCAACUCCAGAACUGCCUUUGAUACUGGCGAUCUUGAGUCCGGGAGAGGUGAGUGGAACUGCGAGUGUAGAGGUGAAAUUCGUAGAUAUCGGGAGGAACACCGGUGGCGAAGGCGGCGACCUGGGUCGAUACUGACGCUGAGGUGCGAAAGCGUGGGGAGCAAACAGG
rnacentral:rRNA from 1 species